AGGAAACCUGGGUCGGCCGGGCUUCAGUGAAACAGCGCGGUGGAUGGAAACCAGAUGUGGGCCCUUCGGCUCCGAGGCCGCGGAGUGAGCAGCACAAAGGCGGGAAACGAGCUGGAAAAGGUCAGAUGUUUCUACUCACGUGGAAGACGGAGACCAUAUGUGCGCGAGCGCGUGUGAAGACACACCGUGUGCUUCAGAAGGCACUGCAACGAAGUGCCUCUUCCCUUCCGAUUAAAUCUCUGAAGGGCCCCGUUUCCUGCCGCUGCAAGGAGACGGCCUUUCAGUGUGAUCUGGCAAAGAGAAGAACUUCAGUGUGUCUUCUCCUCCAGGGCCAAGCUGUCUGAUACAGAGAAACCGGGAUCUGGAACAGGGGUCGGGGACUGUCGCCCGUGGGCCAGUGUUGGCCCAGAGACCGUUUACGUGCAGUCCACCGGUUGCAUAUCUUUAAAGGGCUGUGGGAAAAAAGCAAAGAAGGUGGUGAAACAGGAUUGUGUGUAGUCGGCAAAGCCUCACAUAGUUACUAUCUCAUCCUCUGUAGGAAAGUUGACUAACCCUGGGUCUGGGUCUGGAAUGUACGCCAUGGCAAGGGAAGCUAGCGUGUGUCAUCCGCCAGCGUGAUAAUGACGGCUACAAACAAAACGGUUCUUAGAAAUCCUUGUACGGACCCAGAGAGCGCGGUGGGGUGAAAGUUCAUUUGUGCCCCUCAUGCUAAUGCACUGUGCUUUGUCCUCAAAGCUGGGCCAGGCUGACAGGCAGCGCAGGCUGCUGGAGAGGCAGGAUGGAGAGGUUCUCUCUGGGGUCGCAGGGAAAGCACACACUGUUCGGGUCUGUGCAGAGCUGUGCCGGCUCCAAGUGCAGAGCUGGCUCUCACCUCUCAAACCUCGUAAACGGCAAUGAGCAACGGGGCCUGAUCGUCACCAGGGAAUGUGCCUUGGGCUUUGGACAGACCCGAAGAAUAAGGCACACAAAGACAGGCAGUUACCUGAUUAUAUGCUUGCUUAGACGCAAGUGAUUCUGAUGCAAUAAUGAUGAGAAUAAUAGUGUAAUAAACAAAAACAAUAUUCAUCCAA